UGUAACAGGGUCAUAUUUUGGGACUCUGUCAAUUAAUGUUGGUGAAGAAUGUCCUGAUCAGUGUCUUGAUUGUUGGAAGUUUUUAAUAAGUGAGUUUAUAGUUUUGGUUGUGAGAUAAUGUAAAUUCAUUAAAAUGUUUUGGGGGAUGGAUUUUCAGUUGUAUGGGUCUGGAAUUGUAUUGUCCGGAUUAUGGUGUUUUAUUUUAGUGGUUGAAAUGUCUUAGUUCUUAUAUGGGUUUACUUUUAAUAUUUUUUGGUAUAGUUGAAAGGAUAACUCGUUGGACUCUUUAUAGUUCUGAAGGUGGUCUCUUUCUGAAAUAUUGUUUAUCAGGUGAUUAGUAAUUCUUUGUCCUGGUUGGUUAUUCAGAAGUUUAGCUGGGAUAAAACUAAAUUACACGCAUGCAUCAGUACCACAUGUUACAGAUUUAGUGAAGGUCAAUACCGGCUCUUUUCCACAAAUGGGUAAGCUAUUUAAUUUAACUUUCUUGUAAUAGAUGACUGCAAGUGGACUGUGAGUUUCAUGAGUGUUUGAUAUAUAAUUAUAUAUGUAAUUCAAAUACUGUAAGGUAAAAAUUGUAGGAUGUGUAGCCAAUAGAACUGUUGGUUACGAAUAUAUGGAUAAUGGCAACUAUUGUAUUUUCAGGGCCAACUUGUCGAGCAUAAAUGUAUUUUGUGUUAUAGUUAUGUGUAGUACCAACAGAAAUGGUGUUUAAUGGUUAUGGUGAAUUGAAAUACAUCUAGAUCGACCAACAUCGACUACGCGCUUACGCGUUUCAUUUAAUUGUUUUAAACUGUAUCAUGUGUCGUUUGUGGAUUAUAUAAACUUAUUUAAACCUUAUCGUGUUGUCAAUCAAGAAAUCUAUUUUCCCGAACUAAGCAGGUUCAAUCUAUCAACUUUACCACACCAUUGCAGGUGAUGGAAAGGGUAGGUCUGCAAUAAUGGAGGCACCAGGGGGAGUAGAUUUUCUUGGUUGUACCAGUAACAAGUUGAACUGUUUAGUUUUCAAUUAACUUAUCGUUAGACUUUAAAGUGAAUCCGAUGGCGUUUAAUUACUGACAUUCAAAUUUAUAUGCACAUUAUCAUCAAGCUUGAAUUCUCGUGACUUUGUGACAGUGUUUAACCACUGGAACUGAAAUUAUAACAGAUUCUGGAUGAAGAUUGGAACUGUGUAACAGUGAAUAUUGAACAUUAAUAUUAUGAACUAUUGAUUAAUUUAGUGUUAAUUUGAUUAAUUUAGUGUUAAUUUGUUUGUUUUCAUUUAUUUUUAGUGUCGGUAAACCUGGUAUGUAUGGUUGUAAGUAUGGAUGUUGACAGCACUAAUAAAUAAAUAGGUCAAGUUUAAAUAAGUUAGGGCAUAAAAUUCCGUAACUAUUGAUAAUCUUAGAACAUCAUUCAAUACACAUUGCAUUAUACUAAAAUAUAUAACAGUUAUCCCAGUAACACUAUAACUUGUAUUGUCUUUAUUUUAUCAACAGUGGAGUUUUUUUUAUGUAGAGUUUAGAGUAGUUUGGUCAGUUGAUUGGUUUGAAUAUGUCGGAGGAAGAAGUUGUGGUCUUGGGUAACACACUAAGAAAGUUGGGUCUUUUUCCAAAGCGUAUAGGUAAGACUGAAGAUGACGUUGCUGAGUGGAUGGAAGAUGUUUUGAAAUCUAAAGGAACUUAAAGGGAUAGUUCACAGUAUUUCUUCACAAGUUAGUGGAUUGAAGGAUCAAGUUUCGCAAUUAGCUUAUAAAGUUGACAGACCUAAGGUUCCACGAUGGCAGUCACAAGGAAAUGAUUCAAGAGGUUCUUUAAGCAAAAUGGCUCCAGAGGUUAGUACGGCAUUGUUGUCGUUAAUUACUGGUAAGUAAAUGACGGGACGUCAUUUUUACGGUGGGGGGAAGUAUGUAACAGGGUCAUAUUUUGGGACUCUGUCAAUUAAUGUUGGUGAAGAAUGUCCUGAUCAGUGUCUUGAUUGUUGGAAGUUUUUAAUAAGUGAGUUUAUAGUUUUGGUUGUGAGAUAAUGUAAAUUCAUUAAAAUGUUUUGGGGGAUGGAUUUUCAGUUGUAUGGGUCUGGAAUUGUAUUGUCCGGAUUAUGGUGUUUUAUUUUAGUGGUUGAAAUGUCUUAGUUCUUAUAUGGGUUUACUUUUAAUAUUUUUUGGUAUAGUUGAAAGGAUAACUCGUUGGACUCUUUAUAGUUCUGAAGGUGGUCUCUUUCUGAAAUAUUGUUUAUCAGGUGAUUAGUAAUUCUUUGUCCUGGUUGGUUAUUCAGAAGUUUAGCUGGGAUAAAACUAAAUUACACGCAUGCAUCAGUACCACAUGUUACAGAUUUAGUGAAGGUCAAUACCGGCUCUUUUCCACAAAUGGGUAAGCUAUUUAAUUUAACUUUCUUGUAAUAGAUGACUGCAAGUGGACUGUGAGUUUCAUGAGUGUUUGAUAUAUAAUUAUAUAUGUAAUUCAAAUACUGUAAGGUAAAAAUUGUAGGAUGUGUAGCCAAUAGAACUGUUGGUUACGAAUAUAUGGAUAAUGGCAACUAUUGUAUUUUCAGGGCCAACUUGUCGAGCAUAAAUGUAUUUUGUGUUAUAGUUAUGUGUAGUACCAACAGAAAUGGUGUUUAAUGGUUAUGGUGAAUUGAAAUACAUCUAGAUCGACCAACAUCGACUACGCGCUUACGCGUUUCAUUUAAUUGUUUUAAACUGUAUCAUGUGUCGUUUGUGGAUUAUAUAAACUUAUUUAAACCUUA